rnacentral:rRNA from 1 species
CGCCGCGUGAGUGAUGAAGGUUUUCGGAUCGUAAAGCUCUGUUGUUAGGGAAGAACAAGUGCCGUUCAAAUAGGGCGGCACCUUGACGGUACCUAACCAGAAAGCCACGGCUAACUACGUGCCAGCAGCCGCGGUAAUACGUAGGUGGCAAGCGUUGUCCGGAAUUAUUGGGCGUAAAGGGCUCGCAGGCGGUUUCUUAAGUCUGAUGUGAAAGCCCCCGGCUCAACCGGGGAGGGUCAUUGGAAACUGGGGAACUUGAGUGCAGAAGAGGAGAGUGGAAUUCCACGUGUAGCGGUGAAAUGCGUAGAGAUGUGGAGGAACACCAGUGGCGAAGGCGACUCUCUGGUCUGUAACUGACGCUGAGGAGCGAAAGCGUGGGGAGCGAACAGGAUUAGAUACCCUGGUAGUCCACGCCGUAAACGAUGAGUGCUAAGUGUUAGGGGGUUUCCGCCCCUUAGUGCUGCAGCUAACGCAUUAAGCACUCCGCCUGGGGAGA